rnacentral:rRNA from 1 species
UACGUAGGAGGCAAGCGUUGUCCGGAAUUACUGGGCGUAAAGCGCGUGUAGGUGGUGGGACAAGUCUGCUGUGAAAGCGCCUGGCUUAACCGGGCGAGGUCGGCGGAAACUGUUCGACUUGAGGACGGUAGAGGGGGGUGGAAUUCCCGGUGUAGUGGUGAAAUGCGUAGAGAUCGGGAGGAACACCUGUGGCGAAAGCGGCUCACUGGACCGCAACUGACGCUGAGGCGCGAAAGCUAGGGGAGCAAACAGG